UGCACUCAGUACUGUAAGUCGCUCUGGAUAAGAGCAUCUGCUAAAUGACUCAAC
rfam:Salmo salar isolate Sally breed double haploid chromosome ssa01, whole genome shotgun sequence.